AUGCCCAUCCUCUGUCCGUCUGCAGCCGUGAUAUUCUCCUCCCUCAUGCAACUGGAGCACGGGAUGAGCGACUCCGACGACCGGAGGCAGAGGGCGGCGUGCGCGGAGAGGUACAGGAGGAGAGACGAGCCAGAGGAUAGCAAGAGGCCCGUCUCCGAGAUGGACGCCGAGAUAGAGGAGGAGUGCGGGAUCUGCAUGGAGCUCAACAGCAGGGUCAUGCUGCGCAACUGCAGCCACGACAUGUGCAUCAAGUGCUAUCAUCAAUGUCAAUGCCUCCAAUGUGGUCGACAUCGAGUGCAUCGGGGAUUCGGGGUCGUCUUCGAGAAGGAUAAGACCAGGGCCUCCAAUGGAUCAUUCAGUGCUCCACUUCUCCUCUUCUUCCUAACCAUUUCCUGUCUUCCUGCCGUCACAUGCAAUGGCUACUUGUCACCUCCUUCUUAA
rnacentral:rRNA from 1 species